GAAGCCUGCCCAGGUAGCCGCUAGCCACGGGCCUGGAAUCGAGACUUGCAGUCGGACCGGCAACGGGCCGAUUGAUGCGUAGUCACGAAAGGGGGCGAGGUGCAAGGGUAACAGGUGAUGCUGACCUUGAAGGUGUAGAGCUCCGAAAAGACCGACGUUGGGAUCGGCCGAUGGUUUAAAUGGGCCAGCAGGCAACAGCGCUGCACGCGUCACGGCGAGUGUGCAGCGACCCCCCGGAGCCUCAGGCCG
rfam:Thiocapsa marina 5811 ctg466, whole genome shotgun sequence.